AGUGGCGAACGGGUGAGUAACACGUGAGUAACCUGCCCUUGACUCUGGGAUAACCUCCGGAAACGGAAGCUAAUACCGGAUAUGACGCACGGAGGCAUCUCCUGUGCGUGGAAAGAACUUCGGUCAAGGAUGGACUCGCGGCCUAUCAGGUAGUUGGUGAGGUAACGGCCCACCAAGCCUACGACGGGUAGCCGGCCUGAGAGGGUGACCGGCCACACUGGGACUGAGACACGGCCCAGACUCCUACGGGAGGCAGCAGUGGGGAAUAUUGCACAAUGGGCGCAAGCCUGAUGCAGCAACGCCGCGUGAGGGACGACGGCCUUCGGGUUGUAAACCUCUUUUAGUAGGGAAGAAGCGAAAGUGACGGUACCUGCAGAAAAAGCACCGGCUAACUACGUGCCAGCAGCCGCGGUAAUACGUAGGGUGCGAGCGUUGUCCGGAAUUAUUGGGCGUAAAGAGCUCGUAGGCGGUCUGUCGCGUCUGCUGUGAAAUCCCGAGGCUCAACCUCGGGCCUGCAGUGGGUACGGGCAGACUAUAGUGCGGUAGGGGAGAAUGGAAUUCCUGGUGUAGCGGUGGAAUGCGCAGAUAUCAGGAGGAACACCGAUGGCGAAGGCAGUUCUCUGGGCCGUAACUGACGCUGA
rnacentral:rRNA from 1 species